rnacentral:rRNA from 1 species
GUUGACCUCGGAUCAGGUAGGAUUACCCGCUG